UGGUUCUCUCCGAAAUAGCUUUAGGGCUAGCCUCAAGUGAUGAUUAUUGGAGGUAGAGCACUGUUUGGACGAGGGGCCCCUCUCGGGUUACCGAAUUCAGACAAACUCCGAAUGCCAAUUAAUUUAACUUGGGAGUCAGAACAUGGGUGAUAAGGUCCGUGUUCGAAAGGGAAACAGCCCAGACCACCAGCUAAGGUCCCAAAAUAUAUGUUAAGUGGAAAAGGAUGUGGCGUUGCCCAGACAACUAGGAUGUUGGCUUAGAAGCAGCCAUCAUUUAAAGAGUGCGUAAUAGCUCACUAGUCGAGUGACACUGCGCCGAAAAUGUACCGGGGCUAAACAUAUUACCGAAGCUGUGGAUUGUCCUUUGGACAAUGGUAGGAGAGCGUUCUAAGGGCGUUGAAGCAUGAUCGUAAGGACAUGUGGAGCGCUUAGAAGUGAGAAUGCCGGUGUGAGUAGCGAAAGACGGGUGAGAAUCCCGUCCACCGAUUGACUAAGGUUUCCAGAGGAAGGCUCGUCCGCUCUGGGUUAGUCGGGUCCUAAGCUGAGGCCGACAGGCGUAGGCGAUGGAUAACAGGUUGAUAUUCCUGUACCACCUAUAAUCGUUUUAAUCGAUGGGGGGACGCAGUAGGAUAGGCGAAGCGUGCGAUUGGAUUGCACGUCUAAGCAGUAAGGCUGAGUAUUAGGCAAAUCCGGUACUCAUUAAGGCUGAGCUGUGAUGGGGAGAAGACAUUGUGUCUUCGAGUCGUUGAUUUCACACUGCCGAGAAAAGCCUCUAGAUAGAAAAUAGGUGCCCGUACCGCAAACCGACACAGGUAGUCAAGAUGAGAAUUCUAAGGUGAGCGAGCGAACUCUCGUUAAGGAACUCGGCAAAAUGACCCCGUAACUUCGGGAGAAGGGGUGCUCUUUAGGGUUAACGCCCAGAAGAGCCGCAGUGAAUAGGCCCAAGCGACUGUUUAUCAAAAACACAGGUCUCUGCUAAACCGUAAGGUGAUGUAUAGGGGCUGACGCCUGCCCGGUGCUGGAAGGUUAAGAGGAGUGGUUAGCUUCUGCGAAGCUACGAAUCGAAGCCCCAGUAAACGGCGGCCGUAACUAUAACGGUCCUAAGGUAGCGAAAUUCCUUGUCGGGUAAGUUCCGACCCGCACGAAAGGCGUAACGAUUUGGGCACUGUCUCAACGAGAGACUCGGUGAAAUCAUAGUACCUGUGAAGAUGCAGGUUACCCGCGACAGGACGGAAAGACCCCGUGGAGCUUUACUGUAGCCUGAUAUUGAAAUUCGGCACAGCUUGUACAGGAUAGGUAGGAGCCUUUGAAACGUGAGCGCUAGCUUACGUGGAGGCGCUGGUGGGAUACUACCCUAGCUGUGUUGGCUUUCUAACCCGCACCACUUAUCGUGGUGGGAGACAGUGUCAGGCGGGCAGUUUGACUGGGGCGGUCGCCUCCUAAAAGGUAACGGAGGCGCUCAAAGGUUCCCUCAGAAUGGUUGGAAAUCAUUCAUAGAGUGUAAAGGCAUAAGGGAGCUUGACUGCGAGACCUACAAGUCGAGCAGGGUCGAAAGACGGACUUAGUGAUCCGGUGGUUCCGCAUGGAAGGGCCAUCGCUCAACGGAUAAAAGCUACCCCGGGGAUAACAGGCUUAUCUCCCCCAAGAGUUCACAUCGACGGGGAGGUUUGGCACCUCGAUGUCGGCUCAUCGCAUCCUGGGGCUGUAGUCGGUCCCAAGGGUUGGGCUGUUCGCCCAUUAAAGCGGUACGCGAGCUGGGUUCAGAACGUCGUGAGACAGUUCGGUCCCUAUCCGUCGUGGGCGUAGGAAAUUUGAGAGGAGCUGUCCUUAGUACGAGAGGACCGGGAUGGACAUACCUCUGGUGUACCAGUUGUCGUGCCAACGGCAUAGCUGGGUAGCUAUGUGUGGACGGGAUAAGUGCUGAAAGCAUCUAAGCAUGAAGCCCCCCUCAAGAUGAGAUUUCCCAACUUCGGUUAUAAGAUCCCUCAAAGAUGAUGAGGUUAAUAGGUUCGAGGUGGAAGCAUGGUGACAUGUGGAGCUGACGAAUACUAA
rnacentral:rRNA from 1 species